AUUGAACGCUGGCGGCAGGCUUAACACAUGCAAGUCGAGCGCGCGGCAGAAGGGUGAGAAGUGUGUGGGAAACUGCCUGAUGGGGGGGGAUAAAUACUGGAAAGGGUAGCUAAUACAGCAUACACGCAGGUGUGCCCAGAUGGGAUUAGCUAGUAGGUGGGGUAAUGGCUCACCUAGGCGACGAUCCCUAGCUGGUCUGAGAGGAUGACCAGCCACACUGGAACUUAGACACGGUCCAGACUCCUACGGGAGGCAGCAGUGGGGAAUAUUGCACAAUGGGCGCAAGCCUGAUUCAGCCAUGCCGCGUGUGUGAAGAAGGCCUUCGGGUUGUAAAGCACUUUCAGCGAGGAGGCGUUACUCGCAGAAGAAGCACCGGCUAACUCCGUGCCAGCCGCCGCGGUAAUUC
rnacentral:rRNA from 1 species